rnacentral:misc_RNA from 1 species
AAGUCGUAACAAGGUUUCCGUAGGUGAACCUGCGGAAGGAUCAUUAACACGUAUCCACGUAUACACCAAUUGCGAACUGGUUUUCAACCUUCUCCCUGCAUAUUGAAGGAAUUGGAUUGACCGCGUAUCAUAUUAUGAUAGGAUAUUGUUUUUAUAAUAUCUGUAUGACGCGCUUUCACUCGUCGUCAGACGACCAAUUGAAUCAAUAUUGUCAGGCACAACUAACGCUACUGAUACAGUCGACCUAUCAUACCGACUUAUUGGUGGUAACACUAUUAACAAUUUUCACACCCUUUUUGCUAGUUGACUUUUAUUUGUUGGAAAGCGUAUGACUUGUCAUAUUCUCUUCACACGUUACUUAAUUGAACGUUAAAAUUACAACUCUUAGCAAUGGAUAUCUUGGUUCUC